rnacentral:rRNA from 1 species
AGCAGCCGCGGUAAUUCCAGCUCCAAUAGCGUAUAUUAAAGUUGUUGCAGUUAAAAAGCUCGUAGUUGAAUUUCGGGAUCAAUAUGUUGGUCGUGCCUCGGUACGUACUAGCUUAUUGGUUUCUCCUUUCUGAAGAACCAUGAUGUCAUUUAUUUGGUGUCGUGGGGAAUCAGGACUGUUACUUUGAAAAAUUAGAGUGUUUAAAGCAGGCUCACGCUUGAAUACAUUAGCAUGGAAUAAUGAAAUAGGACGUUUGAUUCUAUUUUGUUGGUUUCUAGGAUCGACGUAAUGAUUAAUAGGGAUAGUUGGGGGCAUUAGUAUUCAAUUGUCAGAGGUGAAAUUCUUGGAUUUAUUGAAGACUAACUACUGCGAAAGCAUUUGCCAAGGAUGUUUUCAUUAAUCAAGAACGAAAGUUAGGGGAUCGAAGACGAUCAGAUACCGUCGUAGUCUUAACCAUAAACUAUGCCGACUAGGGAUCGGAU